rnacentral:rRNA from 1 species
GAUGAACGCUGGCGGCGUGCCUAAUACAUGCAAGUCGAGCGAACAGAUGAGGAGCUUGCUCCUCUGACGUUAGCGGCGGGCGGGUGAGUAACACGUGGAUAACCUACCUAUAAGACUGGGAUAACUUCGGGAAACCGGAGCUAAUACCGGAUAAUAUAUUGAACCGCAUGGUUCAAUAGUGAAAGACGGUUUUGCUGUCACUUAUAGAUGGAUCCGCGCCGCAUUAGCUAGUUGGUAAGGUAACGGCUUACCAAGGCGACGAUGCGUAGCCGACCUGAGAGGGUGAUCGGCUACACUGGAACUGAGACACGGUCCAGACUCCUACGGGAGGCAGCAGUAGGGAAUCUUCCGCAAUGGGCGAAAGCCUGACGGAGCAACGCCGCGUGAGUGAUGAAGGUCUUCGGAUCGUAAAACUCUGUUAUUAGGGAAGAACAAAUGUGUAAGUAACUAUGCACGUCUUGACGGUACCUAAUCAGAAAACCACGGCUAACUACGU